rnacentral:rRNA from 1 species
ACCUGCGGAAGGAUCAUUACAGUAUUCUUUUUGCCAGCGCUUAAUUGCGCGGCGAAAAAACCUUACACACAGUGUUUUUUGUUAUUACAAGAACUUUUGCUUUGGUCUGGACUAGAAAUAGUUUGGGCCAGAGGUUUACUGAACUAAACUUCAAUAUUUAUAUUGAAUUGUUAUUUAUUUAAUUGUCAAUUUGUUGAUUAAAUUCAAAAAAUCUUCAAAACUUUCAACAACGGAUCUCUUGGUUCUCGCAUCGAUGAAGAACGCAGCGAAAUGCGAUAAGUAAUAUGAAUUGCAGAUUUUCGUGAAUCAUCGAAUCUUUGAACGCACAUUGCGCCCUCUGGUAUUCCAGAGGGCAUGCCUGUUUGAGCGUCAUUUCUCUCUCAAACCUUCGGGUUUGGUAUUGAGUGAUACUCUUAGUCGAACUAGGCGUUUGCUUGAAAUGUAUUGGCAUGAGUGGUACUGGAUAGUGCUAUAUGACUUUCAAUGUAUUAGGUUUAUCCAACUCGUUGAAUAGUUUAAUGGUAUAUUUCUCGGUAUUCUAGGCUCGGCCUUACAAUAUAACAAACAAGUUUGACCUCAAAUCAGGUAGGAUUACCCGCUGAACUUAAGCAUAUCAAUAAGCGGAGGAA